AUGCGCUACUAUUCAUCCUUUGUUGAUGGAGCUUUAGAGGUUAAUACUGAUGCUCCAAUAUCUGAUGCGGCUAAAUCACCCAUUAUCCCUUUCACUGUGAUUGCCGAGGUUGCUCCAAGCCUUGAGAAUUUUUCAAGCCUUGAGGAUCUUGCUUCUACAGCACUUGCUUCACCUAAUGUGUCCACAGAGGAGGAAGUUGUGAACACCAUCUACGAUGUUUUAUCUGAGUUGGGUUUAUCAGAAACCCCUGCUGCUGCUGAGGAGGUGGCUCCGUUAGUUAAACUUCUCCUGGAGGACCAACAUAAGAGGAAGAAGCAAGAAAAUUUUGACAAGAAGAGGGCGGCCCGCCUUGAGAAAGGUUCUGAUGUUCCCGGAUCUGUUCAUGCGGCUGAGCUCACUGUUGAGGAAGACGUUCCAUGUGGUAGUGAUGGCAUGGUUGUCCCUGUUAAGAAGAAAAUCAAGAAGACUACUGCGAGGAAGCUAGUAGUUGGUGAAGUUACUCCUCGGAGGAGCCCAUGUGUUUCAAGGCCUGUAGAAGUUGUUAAAGAUGAAGGGUUAGGCCUUGGUGGUACGCCACGCCGUAGUCCUCGUGUGCUUGCCACUGCCACGCCUAGACCUUCUCCGCUUGGUGCUGGUGCAUCUGGUAAGGGGAAGAAAUGCGGCGUGAAGCGCAAGGUUCCACCUGCAAAGGUCAACAAGGGUGUGAAGAAGUGUUCUAGUGUUAAUCCAGAGGACAAGGAUGAUGCUGAUUUCAAUGUUGAUGACGAGGACGACGUCGAUGAUGAUGCUGCCGCUAAUCAGGUUGAUUCUAACAUUUCUCGUCCUUUGAUGGGCAACAUCUACACGAGGAUUGACCCUUCAACCAUGAUUUUGGACAUGGGUGAGGCGAACAAGGUUAUACGUAUUACAAGUGAUGCUAUUCACCAUAUCUUUGGGUUCCCUCAAGGUAAUCGUACCCCCCCUAGGCCCUCAAAUGAUGGUUUUAAUGAUGCUGUUAUGAGGUUGAAGGGCAAGCUUGGGGAGGCAGCAAUGGCCGAGAACCUUGUGUUUGAGGACAUGGCAGACAUGGACUACUGCCAGUUGGUUGUUGACGAUAUUCAAAGUGCUGUUGUUAGGUAUCAGCAAGGUACUAGCAGAGGAAAAGCUGUCACAGGCUGUGCCAUCGCGCCGCUGCUUAUGUAUCUGGACUGCCUUAUCAUUGGCAAGACGCCUAAUAUUGACUUGAGGACCCCUCGCAUCAAUUUCAUGGAUCAGGCCAAGCUUCUUGAGCUUGCUGCGGCUGAUUUGGUCACGAAGGGUGAUGAUGACCCAGCCAACUGGGUGUUUGGGAGACUGCCUUGGAAGACACAGGCUGAGGUUGUGUUCUUUAGGGUUAUUGAACAUACAGGAGGUUCUUCUGCUCGUGUGAGUGCUGCAGGUGGUGUUUCUUCCGAGAAUUUGUUUGAAGCUGCCAAUGUUUCUCUGGUUAGGAUUGACAGUCUUCUUGAAACUGUUUAUGGGGAGUUGGCUCAUGUUCCUUCAACUGCUGAGCGUCUUAGUCGCAUUGAUGGGAUUCUUCCUCCCGGACACGGAUUUGAUGCUGAGUCUUCGAAGGGGGUCUUAUCUAUUGAAGCUAAAUUUCUUGAAGAGCUUCGUCAGAGCACUUCCCACCUCCGGACUAGCGUUGGGCUGUUCAAGGAAAUGGAGGAUGCUCGUUGCAAGCCUUUUGAAGAUGAGGCAAGUGUUGUUGUGAGACAGAUUCAGAGGCAGGAUUCUGUUUGUUCGGGUCGUGAAGGAGGCCAUGUGGAGCGUACCAAAGAGGCUGUUGAUGAUGAUGCUAGGGUUGAGGAGGAUGUUUUACCUGCGCAUGAAGCUGCUCCUGUGCAUGAGGCUGCCCCUGUGCAUGAACCUGCUCCCGCUAGUGGCGUAAUACUUGAUGAGGUUCAUGGCAGUGAAAAUAAGCAGCAGAAUGAUGAUGUUAGUGUUGCUCCAGAGAAGGUUGCAGACAUGUCCGUCUCAGGCACCGGCUGCUCCGACGGGGUGGUCCUGACUGAACCUUUUUCGUCCAUUGGCGCUGAGGUUUCUAAUGCUGAGCAGGGCAAGACAAAUGGAGACACCAUUUUGGAGAAAGAUCAUGUUGAGUCUGCUAUACAAACUGGUGGUAGUGCUGCUGCAAGCCCGGAGAACACUCCUGCAGCAGAGCCAUCAGUUGAUGUUGACGUUGUACAGGCACAACCAAAUGUUUUUCUUGUUUCAGAUUCUCCAGCUGCUCCAGCUGCUGCUAGUGUCCUUCCCGAUGACGCUGCAAUGUCUAGUGGAGACGAUGCUGAAGAUACCGAAAGCGAUAGCUAUGGAGAGGAGGUUGAUCAUUCCAAUAGCGACCUUGCUGUCGUCCGAAAGAAGGUUGAUGACUUUUAUUACAGUGUAACUAGGCUUAGGAAUGAUCGUUCCAAGAGAGAAAUGAUUAUGUUCCGAAACAAGGAGUGUGAAGCUUCUGCUCAAGAAGUCACAAUAUCUUUCGGUCCUCGCGGAAUGCUUACAUCUAAUGUGGCUGAGUGUGCACUCUACUGUCUACGUGCGAAGUACCAGGGAUCGGAUAAACUCAUCCUGCCGUAUUGGGUUUGUGACAAGAUUUUUAGAGGUCAAUUUGAUUCCCGUGUGAGGAAGUACUUCAUGGCGAGUGGUCCAGAUAGCAUGGAUGCACAUGAUUCAGUUGUUUUCCCUACUUUUGACCCGCAUGAGCUUCCUGCUUCCAUGGGUGGUGUCGGUCAUUGGGUGUCGGUAUUCCUUGACCUAAAGAAUUCAAGGUUCCAGCUUCUCGAUUCCUACUAUGGACCAAAAGAUGAAUGUGCGGUACGCCUGUUUCGGCAGAUAACCGACAACAUCAAGAGGCUUUGGAAGGAUGACAGCAACGACAGGGAGACACCCUUCAGUCCUCUUAGCAUCGACAAUUUCCCUCUGGAUUGGAUUGAUGUCCCCCAGCAGCAAAACAAUAUCGACUGCGGAUUCUUCAUGCUUAUGAAUGUUAAUUCAUAUCAUGACGGGGUUCUUGCAAAUUAUUCCCAUGAGAAUAUCGGGGAUAUCAGGAAGACGUGGUUGUACUCAAUCGCUUCUUCUAACCUGUUUGAGACAGACUUCCAAGCUCUGUUUGGCUACUACACAUGGCAGCAGAUGGAAGGAGACAUAAUGGAUUAUCUCAUAAAUUUGUGGAAGGAUAAGCCAGAGACCUCUGAGAUAUUCACUAGUGCUGACAGGGUUGUACUUAGUCCCUACUUCAUACAGUACUGCCUGGAGUAUGAUUUCUUUGGUGCAACAGUUCCAAAGUUUGAUGCAAAAAAAUCUGCUGGUCUCCUCCCAAUGUUUGUUCGCAAGGAAGAAGACCUUCUUAACACAAAGCUGGUUUUCUUGAUUCUAUUCAAGCCAAUUGGCACAAUGACACACUACAGUGUGUACGUGGUGAAUAGAUAUCAUGGGAGCAUUGACAUCCUUGAUUCACUUUCUUACGCUAAUAUGGAAACAUCGCGAACGAGUUUCCACGGGGACUGCCAAAAUAUCAUGAAAAGAUUUGUUGGGUUGCUCGAGGAGGUGUACGACAAGGCUGCAUACAAGGUGAGCAAGCAGCCUAACUGGGUGACUAUUGCAAAGAGGCCGACUUUCAUCGACGUUCCGAAGCAGAAGAGUAAUGAUUGUGGUUUCUUUGCCGUGAAGUUUAGCUCUUCGUAUGAUGGCGAUGAGAUUGUUGAAGAUUUUGGUGAUGUGCUGCUGCAGAUGACUGGAAGGCUGAGUUCAUGCACACUCUGA
rnacentral:rRNA from 1 species